rnacentral:lncRNA from 1 species
GCGAUCGUCAUUGGAAUAGCCAUAUUUUUGUACUGUUAAUUUAUUAAGAAUAUAUCUUGGUUAGCCAAAAAGAAGGGUGCGAGUUCUGGUUCUAAUGCCACGAACAGUUGGCACAACAUGGUGUCAACGCAAUUGGUUGGAACAGAUGUUACUGCUUCCAGAGAGACUGAUGUCUUCCUCUGCGCCAUUGAUCAAGGACGAAACUUAACCCAAUGACGAUGUUAUUAACAGCCUCUUAAGAAGGACGAACCAACCAGAGCUAGAUACGUCAACUACUUCGUAAAAGGACUGGAUUGGAAACUUUACAACGUAGACGACCGAAUCCAC